CGCCUCUGCUGCCAGCGCCGGAUUCGUCCACUACCAGCGCCGGAUCCAUCCGCUGCCACCGGUCCUCCUCCUUCGUUGCCCUCAAGUUCAACCACCGCCUACCUCAAGUUCAACCACCACCGCCGCCUUCGAACGCCCCAAGCAAGUUCAGAUCCACCGCCUUCGAACGCCCCAAAUAUAGAGAGGGAGAAAACGCACAUCGCGCCGUGUUGCACACCCGCGACCAGUCGUCGCCGGUUUCAGCGCAGACGCCCGGGCCGCACCGAUCAGCCUCCUCCGUCAGCAGCACUGCAAGUUUGUAGCAGACGUCUUUUCCAGCUACAUCAGUCCGGCAGCAGUAGUGCGAUUCUUGAGCCUUCACAGCAGCAGCCAGCAGAUUCGCAGCCCUGAGGUCUCUGCCGGCCCACCUUCGCUCACAGAUCCGCCGCUCAGAAGCCCAUUCCGGCCACGCCCACCGCACAGUGCCACUCACCCGCGACCAGUCGCCACUGCUGUCACGCCGCUUUGUCCCAACCGAACGGGCAGUCAGUCCUACCUCUUUUAAAGCUAAGUUCUACUACCUUAUCUCGGGUGAUGUUCAGUUGAUAUGGAGGCGAACUGAAUUGAGCAAUUGAGACAGCAAAUUACCUUGAAUGUUUUCAAGCAGAUGGGUUGUUGUUGGGGUUGAAUGUAUUGUAGAAUAACUGAAAUGAAUUGAAGGUGCCAUGUUGAAACGAAAUGGAGGAGAUUUGAACUGAAAUUAGCAAAGUUAAGGACAGAGCUUACCUUGCAGUUGUUUUGUUUGAUUGAUGUAUUGUUCGUUGUAGUUCAUUAAUUCCUAAAACCGGUGAUUUUCUCUAUAAUGGAGCCUAGAGAGAGGGAGAAAGAAUGGAGAGAGGUGAGAAAAAGAGGGAUUGAUCUCAAACAUGUUGAGAGAAAACCAGCAAGAAGCUGGAACCGGAAUAGUUUGAAUGGGAGGAGAGAUUGGAGUUCGAAUGAACGUGAAGGCACUACAACCUUUUUCUUUAACAACAUCCCAGAGGAUUGCAGCCUAGAUUUUCUAAGACGUAAGUU
rnacentral:lncRNA from 1 species